rnacentral:lncRNA from 1 species
GCUGAACUUUCCAACUUGAUAUGAAAACUCAUGCAACAUGGUGCGUCCACUUUGCUGUCCCUGGCAUGUGUUACACAGAGUCACAGAAUCAUAGAAUGCUGUUGUUUGUUAUCUUUGUUAUCCCCAGCGCAGUUUUGGCUCAUCUUCUGCGGCUGUAAUCUGUAAUUUUGACUAAUGACUGACCACUAGUAAGUAGCACGGUUCAGUUUAUAACCUUUGGGUCUUGGUUAGCAAUCUAUGAUCGUACAUAGAGGGCUCCCGCUAUUAUCCCACAUCUGUAUUCACCUACAUUGUGCUUUAUGCUGCAGUCAAAUGUAGUUCAUUCUGCGCAUGAUGAAUAGUUGCAAUCACUUGUCAUGUCCUACAAAACUUGUGUAUAAAAGGAGAUGUUACAGCAUAUACUGGUACUAAGCUAAAGACAAGCUAAAACAAAUUUGGCAGUAAUCACUAGUGCGUUGGCUGCUGUUACAAGCUAAAUCAGUUUCAGACUGUUGAAGACAAGCCUAGACAACAUCUGAUACAUCCUGAGGCCCACAGAGCUCAAUAACGGGCUGGUACCAGGUAUAAGCAGUGUUUAUUGGAAUACAGGGUUGCAAACCCC